GGAGUACAAUCCCUUUCUUCUCCAUGUCUCCUCCUCCGUACUGCCGCGACAGCUCCCCGGCAGCUCCGGCGGAGCCGCCGGCAGAGAAAGGGAUUGUACUCCCGGAGCUGAGCUGCCGCCGAGUUUCCCCCGCUGGAGCUGCUCGUCCGCUGGUCCACAAAGUCUUAGCUAUGCUCUGAUUGGAGGGGAGUGGGGAAGUGGGAGGUAAUAUUCCACUGUGCCCCCUUCCUACGUAGGAGGGGGGGUAAUUUCAGAAAUGCAUAUCUCACUCAAAAAAUCAUGUACAGACUUUUUUCAAAGUUUGUAUGUGUGUGGGAGCACCAGAGACCCAAAACAACA